UUUUUCCGGUUGUCCUGCCGGACCUGACUGCUAUCAGAUUGAUACUAAGCCAUGUUAGUCAUUGUAGUAAUACAAGGCAGACGGCUCAGUAACACGUAGUCAACCUAACUUAUGGACGGGGAUAACCUCGGGAAACUGAGAAUAAUACCCGAUAGGUCAUGAUGCCUGGAAUGGUUUAUGACUCAAAUGAAUGUCGCCGUAGGAUGGGACUGCGAGCUAUCAGCUUGUUGGUGAGGUAAUGGCCCACCAAGGCUAUAACAGCUACGGGCUCUGAGAGGAGUAGCCCGGAGAUGGGUACUGAGACAAGGACCCAGGCCCUAUGGGGCGCAGCAGGCGAGAAAACUUUGCAAUGCGCGAAAGCUCGACAAGGUUAAUCUGAGUAGUUCCUGCUAAAGGAACCUUUUGUUAGUCGUAGGAACCACUGCAUGAAUAAAGGGGUGG
rnacentral:rRNA from 1 species